ACGAACGCUGGCGGCGUGCUUAACACAUGCAAGUCGAACGAUGAACCACUUCGGUGGGGAUUAGUGGCGAACGGGUGAGUAACACGUGGGCAAUCUGCCCUGCACUCUGGGACAAGCCCUGGAAACGGGGUCUAAUACCGGAUACUGAUCCGUCUGGGCAUCCAGACGGUUCGAAAGCUCCGGCGGUGCAGGAUGAGCCCGCGGCCUAUCAGCUUGUUGGUGAGGUAGUGGCUCACCAAGGCGACGACGGGUAGCCGGCCUGAGAGGGCGACCGGCCACACUGGGACUGAGACACGGCCCAG
rnacentral:rRNA from 1 species